rnacentral:ncRNA from 1 species
GCCCAGGUACAGUAAGCAGGUCGUCAUCACACCGUACGGGGAGAAGCCGGUGCAAUUCCGGCGCUGACCCGCAACCGUGAACCGCCCACGCGGCGGUGAGCCGGAUCGCUUCGUACGGUUUCGUGAC